CAGAAGUGCCUAAAGGCUCCCGCCAUGAUUGUGCUCUCCAAAUACAUGGUAAAAGACAUUACUGUUCAAUCUCAGAAUAGAAGACAGUUUCUGAUCUGAAGGUCUUACAAUCUAUAAGAGAAGACACAAGUGGGUAAUAUUGGAGCGUUUGCAUUGCAAGCUUCUGGAACUGUGUAAAUCACCAGACAGGAGACAGACAUGAACUAGUGUGAAAUGCUGGUCUCCAACAGAAAGUGUUAUGUCCUGCCCAACAAGGAAGGCCCAUCAGCACCAGAUAGAGAAGAACAUUAAAGAAGAAACAUUUUGAGUCUUACAAGUGAAUUCUUCCCAUCAGCUGAUUUGCAGCUCAAAGUGCAAAGGGGAAGGGAAUAAAAACCCCUAACAAUAAGUGGAUUUCUAUGCUGCUUGGACUCUGAGGGGCAAGGUUUUCUAGGCAUAGGCAAGAGAAGCCAGUGCUGAGCCUGGGUUAGCCCUAAAGGACAUAUCGAGCUUGCUUAUUAUGAAACCUUCUAUAAUGUUGAAAUUGAAGAUUGUAAUUCAUUUGUGUACAUAUGCUUACUGGUUUUAAACUUGUAACUAACACUCUUAUUUCCUUUUCCUAUGAAUAAAACAAUAUAGUUUAUUA